GAACUACGCCUUCGUUUUGUUUAUGAGCUGUCAUCUGUAAUUUAUAAUUCCUUUAAAAAGCUCAUUAUCAAUAAUUAUUAGUGCUCACUGUGCAUUGUACAGUAAUAUUUAUUGCUUUUAAUUAUUUUUGAUAAAAGUGGUGUUAAUUAACAAUCUUCUGAACUGAGUAAUUGUUAUUUUUUAAGUCAAUUAUCCAUCCAUUCGUUUCUUCAUGAUCUGUCAUAUGUUUUCACAAUGAAAUAAUUGUUAAAAAAUUACAUCAAGUUUUCUUUAUAAAAGUGAGAGUGUGAAAGUAGCGAACAACGUUAGUUAUUAACAUGCCCUGAAGUUUACUCAGCACUAAUUAAUUGCUGAAUGCAUGCUUAACUGAUAAGAAAUUCAAGUGGUUCAGUUACAAUGCAUCGAAGAAGACCACACCACAGUAACUUUACAUAUGUUAGUUCAUGUGUAAAAUAUUUAAUAUUUGUGCUAAACUUCAUAUUUUGGUUAUUUGGAGGAUUACUAAUUGGAAUAGGAUUGUAUGCAUUUGUAGAUAAAUGGCAGUUAACAGGUUGGGUAAAACUUGAAACUGUGUAUGAUGUAAUUUUGAAUAUAUCAUUAGUCAUGGUGAUAAUGGGUGGUGUUGUGUUUAUAGUAAGUUUUGCAGGAUGUGUAGGUGCACUACGAGAAAACACAUGCCUUCUAAAAUUUUAUUCACUUUGUCUGUUAAUAUUCUUCCUGUUGGAAAUGGCUGUUGCAAUUAUUGGCUUU